rnacentral:rRNA from 1 species
AUACGUAGGUGACAAGCGUUAUCCGGAUUUACUGGGCGUAAAGGGCGUGUAGGCGGUCUUGCAAGUCAGAAGUGAAAUUCCUGAGCUCAACUCGGGCGCUGCUUCUGAAACUGCAGGACUUGAGUGCUGGAGGGGAUAGCGGAAUUCCUAGUGGAGCGGUAAAAUGCGCAGAUAUUAGGAAGAACACCGGUGGCGAAGGCGGCUAUCUGGACAGUAACUGACGCUGAGGCGCGAAAGCGUGGGGAGCAAACAGGAUUAGAUACCCUGGUAGUCCACGCCGUAAGCGAUGAAUACUAGGUGUAGGGGGUAUCGACUCCCUCUGUGCCGCAGUUAACACAAUAAGUAUUCCGCCUGGGGAGUACGGCCGCAAGGUUGAAACUAAAAUGAAUUGACGGG